rnacentral:rRNA from 1 species
UCAGGUGGCUAUAGUACAAGGGUUCCACCUCUUCCCAUUCCGAACAGAGAAGUUAAGCCUUGUCACGCCGAUGGUACUGCGUCACAGUGGGAGAGUAGGUAGCUGCCGUUU